rnacentral:tRNA from 1 species
CCAGAGCUUAGCUAAACAUACCUAUAGCAUCUCCCUUACACCGAGAAGUCGCCCGUG